rnacentral:rRNA from 1 species
GAUGAACGCUAGCGGCGUGCUUAACACAUGCAAGUCGAACGGGGCGAAGUGAUAGCUUGCUAUUAUGGAGCCUAGUGGCAAACGGGUGAGUAACGCGUAGGCAACCUGCCCUUCAGAUGGGGACAACACCUCGAAAGGGGUGCUAAUACCGAAUGACGUUUCCUAGUCGCAUGACCUGGAAACCAAAGGCCGGGCAACCGGUCACUGAAGGGUGGGCCUGCGUCUGAUUAGCUAGUUGGUGGGGUAACGGCUCACCAAGGCGACGAUCAGUAGCCGGUCUGAGAGGAUGAACGGCCACAUUGGGACUGAGACACGGCCCAA